rnacentral:lncRNA from 1 species
AACGUACUCCAUGAUAUGCUUGUCCAUGGACGAUGACGACAAAGCUGACAAGACCAAGAAGAUCUCAAAAAAGCCCUCCUUCUUGAGUUGGAGCACCAGUAAAAACAGACAGAAGUCGGCCAGCACGCUGUGCCUCCCCAAUGUUGGCCUGGCAAGGCCGCAAAACAAGAAGAAGCUCCCAACUCCCUUCAGCCUGCUCAAUUCCGACAGCUCUCUGUACUGAAGGGAGGAGCCGGACGGAACAGGUCACUCUGCGCCCACCAUGGCUCUCCAACCACCCAUGCCGUGAUGGGAAUGUUUUCCAACUCCAUCUUCUCAGAGUGUAAACUUUGUCUGAUGUGCUUGUUGUGAACGUGAAAGAGAGCUCUAGAAACUGGUGGGAGACCCAGCCGCACGGGGAUCUUCACACUGCUACGGUUAUUUAUUCUCUAAAGUAGGGCAUAGAAGAGCCUGGAUGUCUUAGCUGGUUUGUGGUUUUCCCAGUUUUCUCUGUGUAGCCCUGCCCGUCCGAGAAGUUGCCCUGUAGACUAGGCUAGCCUCGAACUCCCAGAUCCACCUGCCUCUGCCACCCGAGUGCUGGGAUUAAAGGUGUGUGCCACCACCACCCAGCAGCUGCUACAGCUGUUUUUAAUGGCUAUGAUUUUGAUAUUCAGGCAUGGUGAGAGAUGAAUUGGGACCACCUACUUGGUAUUACAUCUGAGUGUUUAGAGUUGGAUAAUAGUGAUCUCUCUUAACCUCAAGUUCAAGUGACUCUUGAAUGGAGGCAGGUUAGAGAUGUUAUUAAAACCAGACUGCUUGGAAGAUUUCUGUGAGUUUGAGGCUAGCCUGGUCUACAUAGUGAGUUCCAGGACAGCCGGGCCUACACAGAGACUCUGUCUCAAACAAACAAAACCAAAACUGGCUGCUUUAAGUACUUGGGAAUUCAUGAGAUGAAAAUGGUGACAUUUUCUGUCAUUCCUGCAUAAUCUGACUGCUCUUUCCCAGUUAAAGUCUAGUGCCAAUUUUGCCUUUCCUUACUCUGGGACCAGCUUCCCUCAGUUUAUCAUACUGACCAUUAGCUAACACAGUGGCAGUGUUAGGAGAUGCUGUCUACAGGGUAGAUAAUAUGCUGUUUGAUACUCAAAACGUUGCUCCCUUUGUUUAAAGUAGGAAGUAUGUAACUAUGUAUUUUAAGAGUCUUGGUUUAGGGGCUGGGGAUUUAGCUCAGUGGUAGAGCGCUUACCUAGGAAGCGCAAGGCCCUGGGUUCGGUCCCCAGCUCCGAAAAAAAGAACC